UGCCGGUGUAAGUCCGGUCACGGUAAUCGCCAGUGAGCCGUGUAGCUAAACUCGGUGCGCUGUAGUAAUACAGGGUGCUAAGCGAGUGGAUAAAGUAACCUUGAUAAAAGGUGCAAGCAAUCAUACAGACCGUAACAU
rnacentral:ncRNA from 1 species